rnacentral:rRNA from 1 species
GACGAACGCUGGCGGCGUGCUUAACACAUGCAAGUCGAACGGAAAGGCCCAGCUUGCUGGGUACUCGAGUGGCGAACGGGGGAGUAACACGUGGGUGAUCUGCCCUGCACUCUGGGAUAAGCCUGGGAAACUGGGUCUAAUACCGGAGAUGACCAACUGUCGCAUGGUGGUUGGUGGAAAGCUUUUGCGGUGUGGGAUGGGCCCGCGGCUUAUCAGCUUGUUGGUGGGGGAAUGGCCUACCAAGGCGACGACGGGUAGCCGACCUGAGAGGGUGAUCGGCCACACUGGGACUGAGACACGGCCCAGACUCCUACGGGAGGCAGCAGUGGGGAAUAUUGCACAAUGGGCGCAAGCCUGAUGCAGCGACGCCGCGUGAGGGAUGACGGCCUUCGGGUUGUAAACCUCUUUCACCAGGGACGAAGCGUGAGUGACGGUACCUGGAGAAGAAGCACCGGCCAACUACGUG